rnacentral:rRNA from 1 species
GCCAGCAGCCAUAUCACUCUGUAACUCACCACUGGCAGCCCAAUGGAGCUCAGCAGGUGUGAGCCUGGUCAGUACCUGGGGGAGAGACCUCCUGGGAAAAACUCAGGCUGCUGCUGGAA